AUGCCCUGCGAUGUGCGAAAGUUGCUGCAGGGCAAGGUUGGGUUCCGCGCCAAUCCCAACUACAUGAACUCACAUGGGUACUUUCCCCUUCACAAAGCUGCUGAAAUGUUCUCUGCCGACAUGAUCAAGUUGCUCUUCUGCUAUGGCGCAUCGGCCAAUUUGCGCACAGUUGGCCCUGAAGUCAUCGAGGGCCUACUCCCACUACAUGUUGCAGUUGAGAACGCUUGCCAGCAUAAGUUUCUUGAGGAAAACCUGUUACCUGACAAAGGGAAUACCGACCAUGUCUACAGGCUCAUUCAAUUGCUGUGCUUACCUGAAAUGAAGAUCUUCUUAGAUACAGUUAGACUGAUUGCAGAAAGAACAGAUGAUCUACUUGCCGAGCUCUGGAAAUACAUCAAGGACGGAAAGCUUUCCGAAACAGCAGUUUUGCUCCUGGCAGCUCAAAAGAAGAUCCGUACGGUAUCUUAUGAAAAUGGCAAUAUCAAGACAGAUGGGUUUAGUAUUAUCUCUAAUCUUUGUACAGAGAAUGUUGUUGCUAUAGAUUCGGAGAUUGCUCAAAACAGAGCCAGAAAGAAGCAGCAGCUGAAGGCGGACAAAAAGCUUAGGCGUAUGGCAUUGCUGCUUGUUAUUGUAAUUUGUGAAGCUGGCGAAGCUCUUGAUGCAUACAUUCGGGCACAUCCAGAGGGACCCUAUGCCAUGUAG
rnacentral:rRNA from 1 species